UACGGAGGGAGCUAGCGUUGUUCGGAAUUACUGGGCGUAAAGCGCACGUAGGCGGCUAUUCAAGUCGGGGGUGAAAGCCCGGGGCUCAACCCCGGAACUGCCCUCGAAACUGGAUAGCUAGAAUCUUGGAGAGGUCAGUGGAAUUCCGAGUGUAGAGGUGAAAUUCGUAGAUAUUCGGAAGAACACCAGUGGCGAAGGCGACUGACUGGACAAGUAUUGACGCUGAGGUGCGAAAGCGUGGGGAGCAAACAGG
rnacentral:rRNA from 1 species